UAACGAAUCUUCCGCAAUGCGCGAAAGCGUGACGGAGCAAUGCCGCGUGCAGGAUGAAGCCCUUCGGGGGUGUAAACUGCUGUCAGGUUUUAGCAAGAAAGUGAGCAAGACCAAAGGAAGAGACGACUAACUCUGUGCCAGCAGUCGCGGUAAUACAGAGGUCUCGAGCGUUCAACGGAUUCAUUGGGCUUAAAGCGUACGUAGGCGGAUGUGCAGGCGUCGUGUUGAAAGCCCUCGGCUCAACCGAGGAAUUGCACGGCGAACCGCACGUCUUGAGACAAGUAGGGGACGGUCGGAACGAUAGGUGGAGUGGUGAAAUGCGUUGAGUAUCUAUCGGAACGCCGAUGGUGAAGACGGACCGCUGGGCUUGUUCUGACGCUGAGGUACGAAAGCAUGGGGAGCGAACGGGAUUAGAUACCCCGGUAGUCCAUGCCGUAAACAUGUGCACUAGUUCGAGGAAGGUCUG
rnacentral:rRNA from 1 species